GAUGAACGCUGGCGGCGUGCCUAAUACAUGCAAGUCGAGCGAACAGACGAGGAGCUUGCUCCUCUGACGUUAGCGUCGGACGGGUUAGUAACACGUGGAUAACCUACCUAUAAGACUGGGAUAACUUCGGGAAACCGGAGCUAAUACCGGAUAAUAUAUUGAACCUCAUGGUUCAAUAGUGAAAGACGGUUUUGCUGUCACUUAUAGAUGGAUCCGCGCCGCAUUAGCUAGUUGGUAAGGUAACGGCUUACCAAGGCAACGAUGCGUAGCCGACCUGAGAGGGUGAUCGGCCACACUGGAACUGAGACACGGUCCAGACUCCUACGGGAGGCAGCAGUAGGGAAUCUUCCGCAAUGGGCGAAAGCCUGACGGAGCAACGCCGCGUGAGUGAUGAAGGUCUUCGGAUCGUAAAACUCUGUUAUUAGGGAAGAACAAAUGUGUAAGUAACUAUGCACGUCUUGACGGUACCUAAUCAGAAAGCCACGGCUAACUACGUG
rnacentral:rRNA from 1 species